UUUUUUUUUUUUUUUUUUGAAACAGAGUUUCGCUUUGUUACCCAGGCUGGAGUGCAAUGGCAGGAUCUCAGCUCACUGCAACCUCCGCCUCCUGGGUUCAAGCAAUUCUUGUGCCUCAGGCUCCUGGGUAGCUGGGAUUACAGGCGCCCACCAUCACACCUGGCUGGUUUUUUUUAUUUGCAUUUUAGUACAGUUGGGGUUUCACCAUGUUGGCCAGGUUGGUCUCGAACUCCUGAGCUCAGGCAGUCUGCCUGUCUCGGCCUCCAACAAAUACAAAUCUAACAAAACAUUUGGGGCUUAAGGUGGUUUUUUAACUUCAAGGAGUAUUCAACAUGGCAUACUUUUUUUUUUUUUUUUUUUUUACAACUGUUUAUUUUUGUGAAAGUGAGAGUUAUGCAAUCCAAAACAAUCCAAACCAUGUAUGAAAGUCCAAAGAUGGAAGGGGAGAGAGUGCCUCACAUUCUGCUCUGUAGAGGAGACAGUUGCGAGCUUUGUGGUGGCUGUCCUUCACCUCUCUCCCUGCCUGCGUCACACAUGUGAGCACGUGUACAGCUUUAUAGUGUGGUGUGUGUUGAGCUGUCCCUGGUCAGUAUGGAUAGACCUACAUAGCUUGGAGCAUGUGUUGAAGAGUGAAAAUGUCAGAGCCAGCGUACCGGCUUUGAGUCCCUGCCCUGCCAUUGACGAGCAGGACAUGACAGACAAGUGAUCUCUGUGUCUGUUGCUUGUCUGCAAAGUGGGAGGCUGGCCGUGCUGCCCUGUUGGGCUGCUGUGAGGGUGGAGUGAGUUAACACACACACAGCCUGUAGAAGGGUGGCUGUCUGCAGUUGUCUCUGGUGGCUGUGUGACGUUCCGGAGGGAAUGUCGUUCUAAGUGACGCCUCGCUGAACACCCUGUGCACCCUUGCGGGUGUCGAGUGAUGCUCGCUCGAUACUCUGAGUGUGGCCAACAUGCGCGGCUCAGGUGGCUUACUGCUUUUCCUUCCAAAGGCCAACUGUGGUGACCUUGCUGAAGAUGGAUCAUCCGUUUCAGGGUCUGGAGUCGGGGUCCCACACUGCUUGCCGUGAGGGGACGGGGGUGGUGCUGGCCUCUGAGCUGCCCUAUGGGGCUGAGCGCUGGCCCAGGUGCUCUCACAGGGCGACCUCCUGACGCCCCUGCUCGCUGUGGCCCACGUUCCUAACCCCACCUUCAGGUUCUGGGGCAGGAAGCAGUUCCCGCACUUGGCUACUGGGAAGGAAGGUUGCGUGGGGGGCAGAGGCUUCCUGUGUGACCUGGAGCUGAUCUUUCCCACCCCUGCAGGUGCAUGGCAUACUUCUGUUGCCUUAGAAUGUAUUUAUUCUUUUAGAUGUUUAAAACAUUGAACAGACGAGAACAUUGAGGCACAAUGUGACAACACAAACUCCUCUAGUUGGCUAACUUUAGCUGUGGGUUUAAUCUGCGACUUGAUUCUGUAGCAGCUGCAGAACAAGCAACACAGGCUUUGGAGUCAGGUUCUAUUUAUAUUUGUGGCCUUCAGAGAUGCAUUAGUAAUUCUUAAAAUGUAUUGUACAUACAAAUAACAUGAGGAGCUUGUUGAAUGCAGAUUCGAAUUCAGGAGGUC
ensembl:lncRNA